AGAAAGAGUGCUUUCGCCGUGGGUGCAGAGGGUGGGCCCGCCGGGUUGGGUGGGGGGCGUGUGAUGACGGUAAUGGCGACGAGAUGCUCAACUCACGCGGCCUCUUUUAAUCCUCACAGCAGCUCUGCGUGGAGAAACUACAGUAACGUGUUACCACGUUAAGGCGGGAAGCUGAGGCAUGGGAGUAUUUAGUAACGUUCCCGGGCCGUAGAGCUGCGGUGUGCGGCCGCCUGAUCCACCUGAUCUGUAUGACUCCCGUACUCAACCAGCCUAUGUUUCCUACCAGCGAAUUUUUUUUUUUUUUUUUUUUUUUUUCUUUUUUUGAGACAAUCUGGCUCUGUGGCUCAGGCUGGAAUGCAGUGGUGCGAUCUCGGCUCACUGCAGCCUCGACCUCCCAGGCUCGGGUGAUCCUCACUUCUCAGCCUCCCGAGCAGCUGGAACCACAGUCGCCUGCCACCACCAGGCUCGGCUAAUUUUUGUAUUUUUUGUAGAGACGGGGUCUCGCCAUGUUGCCCAGGCUGGUCUGGAACUCCUGGACUCAGGCGAUCCUCCUGCCUCGGCCUGCCAAAGUGCUGGGAUUACAGGCGUGAGCCACCACGCCGGGCCUUUCCCCGGGAAUGCUGUGGUAGAGGGACCCGCAGAGGCCCCGAGGCUGCCUGCAUGUGUGUGUUGGGAGGAUCUGCGCUGAGGGUAGGUAGGAGUUGGGCAGGCCAGGACAGGAAGGAGGCAGAGGGCAUGUCCCAUGCCCGUGCAGAGGGAGGACACGCAUGGUAGACCAGGACGAGGACAAGGGCAGGCUCAGUGUGUGCAAAGGGGACAGUGGUUUGGGAUUUGCAUGCAGAUGCCCGAGCCUCCAAAGGACCUGUGGGCCACAGGGAGACCCUGGGGGAGUUCAAGCUGAGGAGUGGAGAGGGCUUUGGGCUGGUCAGCAGGUGCUCAGAGGAGAGGGGCUGGCCCUAGAGAGAAGGGAGGUCUUGGGAUGGUGGCCCACACCUGACCCUGGCCCUUCAUCAGGUGAUUCCUGCGUGGAUGCCUGCGGGGAUUCCUGCGUGGAUUGGGGAAGUCCUGCAGCAUUACAGAAUUGUUACCCAACGCCAGGGCCUUGGUCCAGAGUCCUGUUGCUAGAUGCACAGAAAGCAAAUCACUGAGAUGUAAGUAUUGCCAGGGAAGAAGGCUUUAUUCAGGUGACAUCAGCCAGAGAGACAGGAGACGAAACUCAGGUCCACCCCUGUCCCUCUUCCCGACUAAAGUUGUAGGUUGAUAUAGUCUAAAAAGAAAGCAGGAGCCAAGGAAGAGGAGGUGGCCCGCAGGCCGCAGGAGCAGCCUCUCAUUGUCCAAAUGUAGGUUUCUCAAGCAUCCGGCUUGUUAGGAAAUUGGGCCAGUUUCAGAAUCAUCAGCUUGUUCAAAAGUGGGACUUGGGAGGUGAGAAGGGUUGUCAGGCAGGAAACCCUGCAUUCUGCUUUGGCUGAGUGGAUGGGGCCCAGGAGGAUGAGCAGCAUGGGGAAGAGUAUGACUCGUAGUGGGCACCAUGAGGAUAAAGAGUUACAAGCUCCUCUGGCAUGGGCUGGAGGGAAGGGAGACCCUAUCGCAUAACCACAGCCCCACCUGCCUGGAGAGAAGAGGGAGGCGGCCCCGCUCCGUGCCACCCCACUGAGAAAGAUAGGACACCUGGAGCUCCAGCUCAGCAAUCCCUCAAUCCCUCAAUCCUUCAUUUCAUCCUUGCAACAGUCCCAGGAGGUUUUUUUUUUUUUUUUUUUUAAGGCAGAGCCUCCUUCUGUCACCCAGGCCGGAGUUCAGUGACGCAAUCUCAGCUCACGGCAACCUCCACCUCCCGGGUUCAAGCGAUUCUCCUGCCUUAGCCUCCUGAGUAGCUGGGAUUACAGGCAUGCGCCACCACGCCAGGCUAAUUUUUGUAUUUUUAGUAGAGACGGGGUUUCGCCAUGUUAGCCAGGCUGAUCUUGAACUCCUGAUUUCAGGUGAUCCGCCUGCCUCGGCCUCCCAAAGUGCUGGGAUUACAGGUGUGAGCCGCCUCACCCAGCCAGGAGGUAUCAAUGGUUAAUUCUCUCCACUGAACAAAUGGAAAAACUGAGACUCAGAGAGGGCAGGAAUGGCCUUGGAUGCAGUGAUUCCAUGGUGUGGCCUGAGUCAGAUGCCAGGGCCCCUCGGACGCCCGCUCCACAGGAGAGGGGUGACUCAGAGGUGCCGUGUCUGUCCUCUUCUCCUGAAUAUGGGUGGUUGGUGCGGGGGCAGGGGGUGAGUCACUGCACUGUUUCCCAUGCCUCCCACCUCGGCUCUCAUGGUUGGGAGCGGCUGAGGGAGGAGGCUGAGGCAGGGAGAGGGAAGACCCAGGAGGGAGGAGGCAGGCGCUGCUUUGAGGGGUGCCCUGGAGCCUUGGCAAUCCUUUUCCUCCUCGGGCCCGGGAGCCCAGGCCCCGUCUCCACCAGCCGCAGGCGACAGCUGUCAUGGUGGUCUACAGCCUGGGCCUGGGGAAGGGCUCAGAGCAGUGUGCAGCUGCAGCCUUGGGCCUCCAUGGCCACCAGCAGCAUCCUCAGGCGGCGCGGCGAUUGCGGCGGGUAGCGGAGGGCGUUGAGCUUCUCCAUCCCCGGGCUGCGCAGGAGGCAGGCGCGAUGGUGGGAGAAGGUGUCGAAGGAGAACUUGCCAUGGUACCGGCCCAUCCCACUGGCACCUGUACAGUGGCACAGAACACAGGUGGUCAGGCGCUGGGGGUCUCCUAGUCA
rnacentral:lncRNA from 1 species